rnacentral:lncRNA from 1 species
AUGGAAAAUGAAUCAUUUGACUGUAUCUGGACUGAUACUGAAGAACCUACCCCUUUUUUUGUGAUGAAACAAAGUUUGUCAUCCUAA